rnacentral:rRNA from 1 species
AUUGAACGCUGGCGGCAUGCUUUACACAUGCAAGUCGAACGGUAACAGGCCUUCGGGUGCUGACGAGUGGCGAACGGGUGAGUAAUGCAUCGGAACGUGCCCAAUCGUGGGGGAUAACGUAGCGAAAGUUACGCUAAUACCGCAUAAGCCCUGAGGGGGAAAGUGGGGGACCGCAAGGCCUCACGCGAAUGGAGCGGCCGAUGUCAGAUUAGCUAGUUGGUGGGGUAAAGGCCCACCAAGGCGACGAUCUGUAGCGGGUCUGAGAGGAUGAUCCGCCACACUGGGACUGAGACACGGCCCAGACUCCUACGGGAGGCAGCAGUGGGGAAUUUUGGACAAUGGGCGCAAGCCUGAUCCAGCCAUGCCGCGUGCGGGACGAAGGCCUUCGGGUUGUAAACCGGCUUUCAGCCGGAAAGAAAUACGCCGUUUUAAUACUAGACGGUGGAUGACGGUACCGGAAGAAGAAGCACCGGCGUAACUACGUGCCAGCAGCCGCGGUAAUGUAGUCGU